ensembl:lncRNA
CAGGAAGGUGGCACCUUUCAGGAAGGUGGUAUCACAAAUGAGAAGUACUAACACGUUAUUGUGGUACAUGCGUUUUGGUCUGUUUAAACCAUGUGGCUGAAAGCUGAAGCCAGUGUGAGGCGCCAAAAAAAAGUUCCUCAAAUGGCCAAAAAUCAUGUCAAACCCCAUAGGUCUCCAUGUCAAAAUCCCCAAAUUUAGAUUUAAAUUUAAAGAAACAUAAUGACAACCUUAUAGCUCCUUGAGCUAUAAGAUUGAAACCUAUAUAAAUCAAAAACAGGUGCACAGCCACUUUAUGUGACAGCAAUCUCUUAGGGCCCAGUCACACAGGCCUAUAGCUCAGCUUGCAAUAGGAAAGAGUGUAUAUCCUGAAAUGUAAAUGGUCACAAAGACUAAAAAUGUCCCUGUGAAUACUUUGGUCACAAACAAAUUGUUGCAACAGCCUGUAGUUUGUAUAGAAGAUGGCAACGUGUCUACAAACACUUGCCUGCAACUCGCUGAGUGGUAGCAACACUUUUGAAACAUGGAAAAUAACGAUAUAUACACAUGACUGCAAGUUUAUUCACUAUUGUUUUUAAUAAGUGACAUUCUUGAAAUGUAUCCAAGUAGCAUUUUUUGUAUAUGUCUGUGUAAUGCUUGCUCAUAAACCUGAUAACACAGGUACCACUCCACCCUAUUGGCCUUCAAGAAAAGAAAAGAAAAGAAAAGAAAAGAAAAGAAAAGAAAAGAAAAGAGGGAAGCAGCCAACUUUCAUAUACAGUUAGGACUUUUAAAAAAGUUUCACUAGCUAGUCAUCACCACAUUUAGCUGCAGUUAUUUAAAGGGAUUGAAAAAAAAAAGAAGUACUUCAUCCAUGUAGCAGAUUCUCGAGGUUGCCGCUCAGAGCCUGUACAUUUUCUUAUAUUAGCAAGCACACAAAAGUUUUUGCCAUUAAAAACAAAGUGAGGAUGCUUUUUAAAGUCACAUCAAGAAUAUUCUUCUUAUUUAACUUCAUGUUAACUCCAGGAAAUUUUGUUUCGGUGGUGACUGACUAAUGUACAAUAUUCCUGGGGAACUUGGCGGAGCUCGUCUUUAAGCUGUCUCGGUGGGUUCAGUGGCAUCUUCAUUUAGCUCCAGACUGGCUUUGUGGGGGCAAUUCCACUGUCGGUGGGACACCUCGUCAUCCUUUUGCUGUCUCUUUCUAUAUAGACAACAGAUGUUUAGGGUCAUUGUCAUGCUGCAGACCGAAUUUAGAACGACUCAAAAGCCUUUCAACAUUUCAACAUCCAAAGCAUCGAAAACUUUUGCACCAUCCAGUGCGUUUCCAACUAAUUUCACAGCCAUGAUUUGAUUAAAAAGAAAUAAUUCAGACACUGCAGGUUUUAUGAUGCAGCAAAGCGGUUAGAAGGGCAACUAAAACAUGCAGAGUGUCUUGAAUCCAAACAGUGGGUUUAAUCGUUUCUCUUUAAAAAGCCAGACAGCAAAAUAUCUCCCUUAGGCAAAUGCAGACCAGCAUGAUAUCUCCCUGACUGAACUAGCUUUGCUGCUUCAGGGUGAAAC